GGUCCCAUCGUCUAGAGGCCUAGGACAUAGCCCUCUCAAGGCUAAGACACGGGUUCGAAUCCCGUUGGGACUACCA
rnacentral:tRNA from 1 species